GCCUUCAAAAAAAAACUGAAACAGACCCUUAAACUCUCUCUCCUUCCUCCAUUUUCUCAUUUCGGCUAGGGUUUCAACACCCAUCAUUGCCGCCAUUGUUGUGGCUCUUUGAGGCCACCGUGGUUCCCACCGUAUACGGGGGUUAAGGGCAUGCGAAAAGGGGCUUUUCACCUCCGGAGUUUAUUAGGAUAGACCCCCUUUUAUUUCCCCUUUGGAAUCGGUUUCAACAACGGAGCAGAGGCUCUGGCGACGCGAAUCCAGGCUUAGGUAGGUCCCCUUUCCUCUCCCUCUUUAUAUUUUUUGUUAUAAAAAUAAAACUUUAAAAAAAAAGAAAAAGAAAAAGGAAAUAUAAAAGUAAGGAAAACAGAAAGAUAUAUGAAAAAACGAGAUUGAACCUUUGUUUUCUUUGCUUUUGAUUGCUUAAAAUUGUGUGUUACAAUAUUUUUUUGCGUUUGUGGCUAUAUAGCCAAAUACCAAUGCUUUUUGUCUAUUCCUUCCACUAUUUGGUACGUUUCUGCUUUUUUGCUUUCUUUUUGUUUCUGUUUUUGCAGGUUUAGAGGGUCAACGAGGCAAAAACUUGCCGUUUUGGUGCAAACGGCAUCAGGGGAGCCGUCCUCGGGCGUUGGAUGUGCCGACGACGCACAUGGGAAGGGUACGGCGCUGAAAGAGAUUAGGGUUUCAAAAUUGGCUUAGGUUUUAAGCCUAUUGGGCCAUCAAAAUAUUGGGCUUGUAUUUGGGUUAAAACUUUUUGUAAGUGGGUUGCUUAUAUUUUUUGGGUUUUUAUUUUAACGAACAGGGCAAAAUUGAGCCCGUACAGAGAAUAUGCCUCAAAGCUUCCAAAAAAUCUAUUUUUCCAACAUUAAAUACUCAUGGUAGAUCUCGAACCUAUGUACUCAUGACUUUCAACUUCCACAUUAAACAAGUAAAUUAUUAAAGAUGGCAAUUCAGAUUACAGAUUUAGAUAUCUGAUCUAAAAUUUAAGAAUCCGAAUAAUAUUCAGACUCAGAUGUUAAAAUUACUAUCCGUUGCGGAUUUGGAUAGACCCCCUCGAAUAUCCAUUAUCAAAGCCAACCUUCAAC
rnacentral:lncRNA from 1 species